CCUACGGGAGACUGCAGUGAGGAAUAUUGGUCAAUGGACGAGAGUCUGAACCAGCCAAGUAGCGUGAAGGAUGACUGCCCUAUGGGUUGUAAACUUCUUUUAUAUGGGAAUAAAAUGUUCCACGUGUGGGAUUUUGUAUGUACCAUAUGAAUAAGGAUCGGCUAACUCCGUGCCAGCAGCCGCGGUAAUACGGAGGAUCCGAGCGUUAUCCGGAUUUAUUGGGUUUAAAGGGAGCGUAGGUGGAUUGUUAAGUCAGUUGUGAAAGUUUGCGGCUCAACCGUAAAAUUGCAGUUGAAACUGGCAGUCUUGAGUACAGUAGAGGUGGGCGGAAUUCGUGGUGUAGCGGUGAAAUUCUUAGAUAUCACGAAGAACUCCGAUUGCGAAGGCAGUUCACUGGACUGCAACUGACACUGAGGCUCGAAAGUGUGGGUAUCAAACAGGAUUAGAUACCCGGGUAGUC
rnacentral:rRNA from 1 species